GGCCGAAUAGCUCAAUUGGUAGAGCAGUUGACUCUUAAUCAAUUGGUUCGGGGUUCGAGUCCCCGUUCGGCCACCA
rnacentral:tRNA from 1 species